AGACCGCUUCAGGGUAUAGUAGGAAAUCCGCGCAUGCGCAGUAUCAUCCAGGACUCGGCCGAGAUGAGACAGAGAGUAUAAGACAAUGUAUGAAUAUUAGUCGUGCGGUGCUGCGGGCCGGGCGGCAGUUAUGUCACAGUGCCAGUUGAAGGCAGUAACCCCGCCCGUGCCAGUUAGCAGCUAAUUUGAAUAUACCGAAAGCCAGCUAUAAUGGGCGAACGGCGCAGCAGAUCCGGGCAAGUUAUAGGGGUAUCAGUCACAUCAGCCCUAAUGCCAAAGGAUGUCCACAUAUGGAGGAAUCAGCAUCACCAACUGCACAUGGGGCAGACAUACUAUCUGUACAAUCUGUGAACCAGCCGGCGAGGAGGACUACAGCUACUUUACAAAAACAAUACUGGACUCCCAGCUGUCAGUCACAUUGUAUGGAGGUGACUAUGCUAACAAUUUCUAUGGCUGAACAGUAAGAGGUCUCAUAUCCAUGUGCUGUUCUACACUGAGAGAGAAACCUGCUAUAAGACAUGUCCCUGACGUACAGAAACAUAGGCCGCGCAUAUACCGAGGUGGCAAGUACCAAUUCAGGAGAAGCCCUCCGGGAUGAUAUUAAAAGGAAGGUGCGAGAAGGAGACGAGAAGCUUAAAGAUAUCAUGGCAGAAGGAGAGCACGGGGUAAGGAAUGUCAGGCCGAGUCUAUAGAGAGUAUGCACAGUGGAGAAAAACAGCCAAACAAUGUCAGCCGCUUGUCAAAACAAAAUGUCAGCUCAGGUGCGAGCGAGACAGCGCCGGCAUGAGGAAAACAUUCAGACGCAGGAAUCCUGGCCUGCUGGGAGGUUGCAGCACACUGAGGAGGAGAGAUGAUGUCUGGGCAAGCCAGGUCUAUAGAAGAAAAGAAAAGCAAUGCAUACGGUGGAGGCCCG